rnacentral:rRNA from 1 species
UACGUAGGGGGCAAGCGUUGUCCGGAUUUAUUGGGCGUAAAGAGCGUGUAGGCGGCCGUACAGGUCAGCUGUGAAAACUCGAGGCUCAACCUCGAGACGUCGGUUGAAACCGUACGGCUAGAGUCCGGAAGAGGAGAGUGGAAUUCCCGGUGUAGCGGUGAAAUGCGCAGAUAUCGGGAAGAACACCAGUGGCGAAGGCGGCUCACUGGCCCGGUACUGACGCUGAGGUGCGAAAGCGUGGGGAGCAAACAGG